AUCCUAUCAGAGAGGACACAUACAAAGCUGGUGGCCUCAGCGAGUGCCAUGCUGCAACCUCUGCUUGACAAUCAGAUUGGAUUCAAGAAUAUGGAGGGUGUGCAGCACCUGCCCCUGAACCAGGAGAAGGCUUGUGCAGCUGGUCAAGAUGUCUUCAUCUCCGCUGCUGAGAGAGACGUGUACACCGGUGAUGCCCUCAGGAUCUGCAUCGUCACCAAGGAGGGCAUCAAAGAAGAAACAGUCCCACUCAGGAAGGAGGCUGAACAACUUAUUUCUGCCACCAUUUCAAGCUACUGCUUUUGUCUGGAUUUUUCAUAUUUUUGACCCUUCCCCUGCUUUUCUCUUUACAUUCUUGCUGAAGAAUAAAAAUGUUCCCUGUAGUUAA